GACAGAGGCCUCAAGCGUUAGGCGGAAUCACUGGGCUUAAAGCGUGUGUAGGCGGAUCGUUAAGUGUCUUGUGAAAUCCCACGGCUCACCCGUGGAACUGCUGGGCAUACUGGCGAAUCUUGGGCCAACUAGGGGCAACUGGAACAAGCGGUGGAGCGGUGAAAUGCGUAGAUAAUCGCUUGGAACGCCAAAGGUGAAAACAGGUUGCUGGGGUUGUGC
rnacentral:rRNA from 1 species